CGAGGAAUAUUGCACAAUGGACGCAAGUCUGAUGCAGUAACGCCGCGUGGGGGAAGAAGACCUUCGGGUUGUAAACCUCUUUUAUGGAGGACGAGUGAGGACGGUACUCUAGGAAUAAGUCUCGGCUAACUACGUGCCAGCAGCCGCGGUAAUACAGAGGGUGCAAGCGUUAAUCGGAAUUACUGGGCGUAAAGCGUGCGUAGGUGGUUUGUUAAGUCAGGUGUGAAAUCCCGGGGCUCAACCUCGGAAUUGCGCUUGAUACUGGCAGACUCGAGUGUGGUAGAGGAUAGUGGAAUUCCCGGUGUAGCGGUGAAAUGCGUAGAUAUCGGGAGGAACAUCAGUGGCGAAGGCGGCUAUCUGGACCAACACUGACACUGAGGUACGAAAGCGUGGGUAGCAAACAGGAUUAGAUACCCUGGUAGUCCACGCCCUAAACGAUGACGACUAGUUGUUGGAGGAGUUAAAUCCUUUAGUAACGAAGCUAACGCGCGAAGUCGUCCGCCUGGGGAGUACGGUCGCAAGAUUA
rnacentral:rRNA from 1 species